UCUGGCCCUAGAAGCACUGCGGGUGUUGCUGCUGUGUCACAGGUGCAUUAGCAGGUGGCAGAAAGGAGAAAGGCUAUCUCUAUGCUCAGUGUUCUGACCUUUGAAUAUGUGAAUGAUUAGUGGCUUAACAGU